CCAUGCUCUUAUUACUCCAUCCACCCACCCGACGCAAAUCCCCAAUCCCAAUCCCUUCCCAUGCGUCGCGAUGAGGACCGAGGAUCCUGAGCCCCCCAACCCCAGCCCCAAACUAUAGCCACUAGGGAACUCGUCUGGGCCAAGACCAAGUGCCGCCACCACUGGUGGCCCACGCACCUCCAUGCCCCCUCCAUCAACGGGCACCUCUGCCACCAGCCGGCGCAUGACCUUCGGCCCCUGCUGCUCUCCCCGCCAGCGCACGACCGAUGGCCGAAGAGCGUCCCUCGCCCCGGCUCCCUGCCCACCUCGACGAGCCGACGCACAUCCAUGACCGGCUGGAGCUUGCGCCGCCAGCCACGUCCACGCCCAUGACCUCCUGCUUGACGCCCUACUCUUCUGUUGGAGGAGGUCCUUGCCGUCGGCCUGCAUCUCAUGGUCAAGCCACCCUCCGCAUGCCUCCUUCCCCUCGGCUAGCUCUGGCCGCCUGCCGUCUCUGACCUUGCCGCCUCCCGUUGGUCCCUUGCACAAAACAUGGUAGCAGGCUCUUCCCGGAGAGUUCAUCUCCCUCCAGCUCCUUCCUAGGGUUCGCCGGAUCUGUCUGUCUCUCUCUUCUCCCACUCUCUCUCUAUCAGGAUUUCACUACCUGAGUCUCUCUCUCUCUGUUUGCAGGCACCCAUGGAGGCGAUGACACGUGGACUACUCGGGUGGUGGCCGCCAAGGACAAGGCCAAGGAGGAUGGCGACCCGAAGUUCGUCGGGGACCUCAUCGUCUUAGACAAGGCACGCCAGUAGGUUACAGAUUUGUGCCGCUGGCCCCAACAAGGCACAUUGCACUACUCGGGGUGUGAUUGUUCUGAUCACCUACUUCAACAACGGCUCGGGCGUAUGUGCCUCAAACUCUUAGCGUGGACUCACUAUUUAUGUUUGUUCUCCUAGGGUUUGUAGAUUGCGAAACAUGGAAUAGAUGUCGAUGAUGCCUACUUGCUUGCCAGCUACAGUGAUGCAUGGACCGGUGAAGCAAGCACACAUGCAAGGCUAGCCCCAUGUAUCUUCCUUGGGUGCAAACAUCAUCUACAAUAUGCAUACCCAGGUCAAACUUGCGAUCAUGGUGAAGGUGCUGAUCUAGGUUUCCUAUCUUCAGAAGUGAAAUGUUUGCUUGCUACCUUCUUUUGGACGUUGUCCUUCAUUCAUGUUUCGUCGUGAGAUCUAGGACGAAGAAGUUGGGAGAAUCAUAAAGUUCUAGCUCAUUGGAGCUAGUUAUACUUGUAUGGCUAGUUAUUUUUUUUGGAUUUUUUAGUUGUGUUACCUGAUGUGAACUAGUUCUGAUUGUAAACCUCAUGUGAUCUUAGAACUAUUAUUGCUCUAGUCUGGUGGGAGUUGUGGAAGCAUAGGAAUGCUAUUGUUUUUGAAGGGGCGCGCCCUUGCUUGGAGUAUCUACUAGGGCGAGUGAGGCAUGAGGGCCAACUGUGGGCAUCGGCCGGGCUAAUGAAAGGGAAUGUAACUCCCUUCUUUACUAGAGUGGAGAGGUGGGAGAUGAGUGAGGAGUAAUAUGUAACAAAACCGUGUAAUUGUGGUGGAGGCUUUCUAUGCCUUUCUUCUUUAAUAUAUGAUAUGCACACUCAUGCAUAUUCGAAAAAAAUAAACCUCAUGUGAACCAUGUUUGAUUGCAAUGUGCCA
rnacentral:rRNA from 1 species